GCCAGAGGGUGGAGGAACCACGCGGUAUCCAUCGCAGGAAGUGGAGCAGGAUCAUGGCCAUUAUUGUGGUCUGCCAGGGAGUGAUGGAGCCGCACGGAAUCCAUCGCAGGAAGUGGAGCAGAGUCAUGGCCAUUACUACGACCUGCCAGGGAGUGAUGGAGUCGCACGGAAUCUAUUGCAGGAAGUGGGGUAGAGUCGUGGCCAUUGUUGUGGUCUGUCAGGGGGUCCAGGCCUAUCGGUCGAAGUUC
rnacentral:lncRNA from 1 species